rnacentral:tRNA from 1 species
AGGAUUAUAGUUAACUAUAACAUUUGAUUUGCAUUCAAAAAGUAUUGAUUUUAUCAAUUAAUCUUA